rnacentral:misc_RNA from 1 species
GUCGUGCUCCUGCAGCUUAUCUGUACGUGGUGGACCUAUCACAUAAACUAACUGCAGAUUUGUCUUGCCAUUCCUUUCUAAGUUCACAGAAUGCAUAGCUUCUCCAAGUUGCUUUAUAAAUUGCAAUGCCAGAUUUCUCAUAUCUGAAUUAUGCAAGAUGCCAUAAGCCAUCCAUCUUGACCAGGACUCAAGUACAAUACCAU